ACGUAGGUGGCAAGCGUUGUCCGGAAUUAUUGGGCGUAAAGCGUGCGCAGGCGGUUUCGUAAGUCUGAUGUGAAAUCCCCGGGCUUAACCUGGGAAUUGCAUUGGAGACUGCGAGGCUAGAAUCUGGCAGAGGGGGGUAGAAUUCCACGUGUAGCAGUGAAAUGCGUAGAGAUGUGGAGGAACACCGAUGGCGAAGGCAAUCCCCUGGGCCUGCACUGACGCUCAUGCACGAAAGCGUGGGGAGCAAACAGGA
rnacentral:rRNA from 1 species